GAGGAGCCAGCUAGCUGCACUCCAGGGAGGAGCGGUCCCACAGUGGCGGUAGCCGGCAGCAGCAGCAGCGACGAGGAGCCAGCUAGCUGCACUCCAGGGAGGAGCGGUCCCACAGUGGCGGUAGCCGGCAGCAGCAGCAGCGACGAGGAGCCAGCUAGCUGCACUCCAGGGAGGAGCGGUCCCACAGUGGCGGUAGCCGGCAGCAGCAGCAGCGACGAGGAGCCAGCUAGCUGCACUCCAGGGAGGAGCGGUCCCACAGUGGCGGUAGCCGGCAGCAACAAGGGCAUGCAGCAGUCACCGGUAGCUGCACAGCCUGUUAAGCGAACACUAAGAAGCAGGCGCUGCACUCACUGUUAUGGGCCGGCACCUGCAUCUGACGGCUUUUGCGAUCUGUGUUCUCGUGCUAAGAGGGCACUUGAAGAGCGGGAGAUCGCCUCGGCAUCUCAGAAAAAAACAGGCGAAUCUCAUGCUGGCUCGGACGAGGAAGACGAAGAAGAUUCUAUCUGUGGGUCAAAAUGUACGCAUUGGCAUUCCCGACGUGGACAGGGCGAGGACGCAACAGAAAAAUGUUAUCGGAGUGAUAUUGGAGUGUGUCGGCGAGUCACAGUAUAUAAUUGGCACGACGAAGGGGAAGCUGUCCGGCGUCUACGGCCCAGAAGCAGUACAACCGUGUGCCGGGCACUUCAUCUCCUCCUCCGACGUCCCCGACAUCUCGAUCACACUUAGAGAAUGUGCUCGCCUGGUCUCAGGGGGGAAGGGUCAGGGGAUGUUUUCCUGCAAGUGCAGGAGGGGUGUAUGUAAAGGCCGAUGCAAGUGCAUCAAGGCGGGCGUUACUUGUAUCAGUCGCUGCCAUAAAGGCGCUCACUGCAAUAAUAAAUAGUAAGAAAGUCA